rnacentral:ncRNA from 1 species
UUGGUUGAUCCUCCCAGUAGUCAUAUGCUAGUCUCAAAACUUAAGCCCUGCAAGUGUAAGUUCCUGCUGUUAAUAAAUGGUGAAUACGCAGAAACCGGAUCUAAUCCUCGAGCCUGUAUUCGUCAGCGCGAGGGUAGAGAAUAACUGUGGAAAUUCUAGAGCCAGUUCAUGCGACCGAAACUGCGAUUACAGGUAGGCACCUAGGUGUUAGUCCCCAAAAACAGCGUCUGGUAGGUGCUAGCGCCUACUUGUCCGGAAGCCAGGAGCAUCGCACCUCCUAAUCCAUCCGGUCGCGACGAUACGCGGCUUUUUGCAUUGGUCCCAGCAGACAUAUUAGACUGAAACCGACGCCUGUGCCCCAGCAGCUGCAGCAAAUUACACAUUCUCAGAGCGAAGUGGAAGUGACGAAAAAUAACAACAUAGCACUCUUUUGAGGUACCGCGAUUACAGUUAGUACACUUCAAAUCCAUUAACAAGGAUCGACUGGAGGCGCCCUCUAGCAGCGUAUAUU